AGUGAACGCUGGCGGUAGGCCUAACACAUGCAAGUCGAACGGCAGCACAGUAAGAGCUUGCUCUUACGGGUGGCGAGUGGCGGACGGGUGAGGAAUACAUCGAAAUCUACUUUUUCGUGGGGGAUAACGUAGGGAAACUUACGCUAAUACCGCAUACGACCUACGGGUGAAAGCAGGGGAUCUUCGGACCUUGCGCGAUUGAAUGAGCCGAUGUCGGAUUAGCUAGUUGGCGGGGUAAAGGCCCACCAAGGCGACGAUCCGUAGCUGGUCUGAGAGGAUGAUCAGCCACACUGGAACUGAGACACGGUCCAGACUCCUACGGGAGGCAGCAGUGGGGAAUAUUGGACAAUGGGCGCAAGCCUGAUCCAGCCAUACCGCGUGGGUGAAGAAGGCCUUCGGGUUGUAAAGCCCUUUUGUUGGGAAAGAAAAGCAGCAGGUUAAUACCCCGCCGUUCUGACGGUACCCAAAGAAUAAGCACCGGCUAACUUCGUG
rnacentral:rRNA from 1 species